rnacentral:snRNA from 1 species
AGAGAAUUGCUUGAACCCAGGAGGCGAAGGUUGCGGUGAGCAGAGAUCACACCGUUGCACUCCAGCCUGGGCAACAAGA